rnacentral:rRNA from 1 species
UACGUAGGGGGCAAGCGUUGUCCGGAUUUAUUGGGCGUAAAGAGCGUGUAGGCGGCCAUACAGGUCCGUUGUGAAAACUCGAGGCUCAACCUCGAGACGUCGAUGGAAACCGUAUGGCUAGAGUCCGGAAGAGGAGAGUGGAAUUCCCGGUGUAGCAGUGAAAUGCGUAGAUAUCGGGAGGAAUACCGAUGGCGAAGGCAGGUCUCUGGGCUAUAACUGACGCUCAUGCACGAAAGCGUGGGGAGCAAACAGG